GAGACUAGACUUUCUUUCAAGAUCAAGAAUCAAUCUCGUAAGUCCAAGAUUUCCAAAGAACAAAUCAAGAUUCAAGUUCUACUCUUCAAACCUUAUAAUCUAAGCGACGUAGGAUUUUCCUAAAUCUACAUAGGAUCUGAGGCACAGUGUCGGGGUCCAGUUCAGCAACAGGUUUGAGUGCGUCGGAAAUUGCAAUUGGUGAGCCUCCCUUACAUUGGAAGGCCUAUAUUAGAACUUGUUAUUGUUAUUUCAUUUUGAUUCAUGGCCCGACUGGGGGCUUAUCCCAAAUGUUAGACAAAUGUCAUUUUCAGUUGUUAGAGAUUUCGCAGACUGAUGUUAGACGUUGUUUAGAGGUUUAUAUUUUCCAUUCCAGAUUGUUCGAUUGAAUUA